rnacentral:rRNA from 1 species
GUAGGUGGCAAGCGUUGUCCGGAAUUAUUGGGCGUAAAGCGCGCGCAGGCGGUUCUUUAAGUCUGAUGUGAAAGCCCACGGCUCAACCGUGGAGGGUCAUUGGAAACUGGAGAACUUGAGUACAGAAGAGGAAAGCGGAAUUCCACGUGUAGCGGUGAAAUGCGUAGAGAUGUGGAGGAACACCAGUGGCGAAGGCGGCUUUCUGGUCUGUAACUGACGCUAGGGCGCGAAAGCGUGGGGAGCAAACAGGGAUUAGAUACCCUGGUAGUCCACGCCGUAAACGAUGAGUGCUAAGUGUUAGGGGGUUUCCCGCCCCUUAGUGCUGCAGCUAACGCAUUAAGCACUCCGCCUGGGGGAGUACGCCGCAAGGCUG